rnacentral:rRNA from 1 species
UACAGAGGUCCCAAGCGUUGUUCGGAUUCACUGGGCGUAAAGGGUGCGUAGGUGGCCAGGCAAGUCUGAUGUGAAAUCUCGGAGCUCAACUCCGAAACUGCAUUGGAUACUAUCUGGCUGGAGGGUCGGAGGGGGGACUGGAAUUCUCGGUGUAGCAGUGAAAUGCGUAGAUAUCGAGAGGAACACCAGUGGCGAAGGCGAGUCCCUGGACGACUCCUGACACUGAGGCACGAAAGCUAGGGGAGCAAACAGG